GAAAGCAGGGGAUCGUAAGACCUUGUGCUUUUGGAGCGGCCGAUGCCUGAUUAGCUAGUUGGUGGGGUAAUGGCCUACCAAGGCGACGAUCAGUAGUUGGUCUGAGAGGACGACCAGCCACACUGGGACUGAGACACGGCCCAGACUCCUACGGGAGGCAGCAGUGGGGAAUUUUGGACAAUGGGCGCAAGCCUGAUCCAGCAAUGCCGCGUGAGUGAAGAAGGCCUUCGGGUUGUAAAGCUCUUUCAGUCGAGAAGAAAAGAUUGCGACGAAUGAUCGCAAUUCAUGACGGUACCGACAGAAGAAGCACCGGCUAACUACGUGCCAGCAGCCGCGGUAAUACGUAGGGUGCGAGCGUUAAUCGGAAUUACUGGGCGUAAAGGGUGCGCAGGCGGCCUUGUAAGUCAGAUGUGAAAUCCCCGGGCUCAACCUGGGAAUUGCGUUUGAAACUACAAAGCUAGC
rnacentral:rRNA from 1 species